rnacentral:rRNA from 1 species
UCAGUCCUACGGGAGGCAGCAGUGGGGAAUAUUGCACAAUGGGGGGAACCCUGAUGCAGCGACGCCGCGUGGGCGAUGGAGUAUUUCGGUAUGUAAAGCCCUAUCGGCAGGGAAGAAGCUGACAGUACCUGACUAAGAAGCCCCGGCUAACUACGUGCCAGCAGCCGCGGUAAUACGUAGGGGGCAAGCGUUAUCCGGAUUUACUGGGUGUAAAGGGAGCGUAGACGGCGAAGAAAGUCUGAAGUGAAAGCCCGCGGCUCAACCGCGGAACUGCUUUGGAAACUUUUUUGCUGGAGUACCGGAGG